rnacentral:rRNA from 1 species
CAAUAGCGUAUAUUUAAGUUGUUGCAGUUAAAAGCUCGUAGUUGGAUUUUGGUACGGCAGGCCGGUCCGCCGUUUCGGUGUGUCACUGGCAGGCGGUAUCUUUCUGUCGAGGACGCGCUCCUGGUCUUUAUUUGGUCCGGGACGCGGAGUCGGCGCAGUUACUUUGAAAAAUUAGAGUGUUCAAAGCGGGCCUACGCUUGAAUAUAUUAGCAUGGAAUAACACCAUAGGACUCCUGUCCUAUUCUGUUGGUCUUCGGGAUGGGAGUAAUGAUUAAGAGGAACAGUUGGGGCAUUCGUAUUUAUUGUCAGAGGUGAAAUUCUUGGAUUUAUGAAAGACGAACUUCUGCGAAAGCAUUUGCCAAGGAUGUUUUCAUUAAUCAAGAACGAAAGUUGGGG